GUUUGUACCGUCCCCUCAGAGCCUGUAACAAUUAAAGAGAAUAACACCGCUGACACAGUCGUUGUUCAUAUUAACACAACAACAAAGGAUGUAACGCUGAAUCUCACAGAGAAUCCUGGGAAUGCCUUCAAUCUGAGAGGUUCAGAAUUGAUAGCAAAGAAAGGCCUGGACUUUGAAACACUUUCAGGUCCCGAAGAACUAACUGUCCAGAUCCGAUGUAAUAAAACUGGCUACAGAAGUAUCACUCUGACUGUGAUUGUUCGUGUUGUGAAUAUCAAUGACAA
rnacentral:lncRNA from 1 species